GAUGAACGCUGACAGAAUGCUUAACACAUGCAAGUCAACUUGAAUUUGGGUUUUUAACUUAGGUUUGGGUGGCGGACGGGUGAGUAACGCGUAAAGAACUUGCCUCACAGCUAGGGACAACAUUUGGAAACGAAUGCUAAUACCUAAUAUUAUAAUAAUAGGGCAUCCUAUAAUUAUGAAAGCUAUAAGCGCUGUGAGAGAGCUUUGCGUCCCAUUAGCUAGUUGGAGAGGUAACGGCUCACCAAGGCGAUGAUGGGUAGCCGGCCUGAGAGGGUGAUCGGCCACAAGGGGACUGAGACACGGCCCUUACUCCUACGGGAGGCAGCAGUGGGGAAUAUUGGACAAUGGACCGAGAGUCUGAUCCAGCAAUUCUGUGUGCACGAUGAAGUUUUUCGGAAUGUAAAGUGCUUUCAGUUGGGAAGAAACAAAUGACGGUACCAACAGAAGAAGUGACGGCUAAAUACGUG
rnacentral:rRNA from 1 species